GCUGGGCACGGUGGCGCGUGCCUGUAAUCCCAGCUGCUCGGGAGGCUGAGGCAGGAGAAUUGCCUGAACCCAGGUGGCGGAGGUUGCGGUGAGCCGAGAUCGCGCCAUUGCACUCCAGCCUGGGUAACAAGAGCGAAACUCCGUCUCAAAAAAAAAAAAAAAAAAGAUUCUACUACCUCCACACUCCUUGCCCUUUUUCUUGUGGAAGUUACUCUGAUUUAUCUUUUUUUUUUUUUUUUGAGACGGAGUUUCGCUCUUGUUACCCAGGCUGGAGUGCAAUGGCGCGAUCUCGGCUCACCGCAACCUCCGCCACCUGGGUUCAGGCAAUUCUCCUGCCUCAG
rnacentral:SRP_RNA from 1 species